CCCCCUUCUUCAGAGUACAGGGGUGGACCAGUAAGCCAGCAGAAGGCCUCAGUCAGAUGACCAAAAAGUUCCAACGGCGGGUCACCAUAUGACUAAGACUCACUUCAGGAAACACUUGUCCUGUUUCCUGGCAAACCUUACCUAACCCAAGACACACAUCUAACAGUGGCUGAGUAAGGAAACAACUUCAGUAAAGAAGAUUGAAACCCUGUGAACCCUUAUUGGAGAGCUGUGUUAAUCUCUUGCAGAUAAUGAGAGGUGGAGACA